UGGAGCAGAAAGUUAGCAACCUAUGCUAGCUGCACCAUGGAGAGUUUGAGAUGCAUUUUUAGAAGUUUGUGCAAGAUUAAAGGCUGAAUAAAUAAGUUGCUGCUGCUGCUGCUAGCACCAGCUGUGGAGCUGGUGCAGACGUGAGGAAGAGACGGAGGAAGAUGAAGUUCACAUGGGCUGCUGCACCACCAUCAACAGUAAUGGGAGCAACAACAAGUUACAAGGACUCGCUGAAGAAGUGCAGGAGGAGGUGCCGCCUGGACCAAAAAUGACAGGGCUGACAUUUUGUCCCAGUCCUGGCCCCGAACUGUUAGAGUCCUGACUUCAGUUCAGGAGAUGAGGCUUGAGGUGAGAAGGAAGAGGUCAACACUUAAGUAAGACACUGUUGACUCUUUCCUUCACUUUUCUUCUUCUUUGGUGAAAGGGACCAAUUCUUCAAAGAUAACACUUAUGUAUAAUUCUUCAUAUCUUGAGUCUAAAGGUGCAGGUACGAGUUUAAAUGUCCCUCUACCUCACACGAAUACCUAUGAGCUCUCUACUUUUCUCCUCUGGCAUACUGUUAUAUUUUGUAGGUCUUUAGCCAUGUAAGUAAAACUGCAAUUAGUCCUUCCCAGCCUCUGCAUUCAAAUAUGGUGGGGGAACAUUGUAAACCUCCUCCAAUGUAUUUUUAAUAGAUUUGUUAUAAGUUCAUGAGAAUGUUUAAAGAUGUAAUGUAACUUUUCUGUU